UGGGGAAUAUUGCACAAUGGGCGCAAGCCUGAUGCAGCCAUGCCGCGUGUAUGAAGAAGGCCUUCGGGUUGUAAAGUACUUUCAGUCGGGAGGAAGGUGGUAAGGUUAAUAACCUUAUCAAUUGACGUUACCGACAGAAGAAGCACCGGCUAACUCCGUGCCAGCAGCCGCGGUAAUACGGAGGGUGCAAGCGUUAAUCGGAAUUACUGGGCGUAAAGCGCACGCAGGCGGUUGAUUGAGUCAGAUGUGAAAUCCCCGGGCUUAACCCGGGAAUUGCAUCUGAUACUGGUCAGCUAGAGUCUUGUAGAGGGGGGUAGAAUUCCAUGUGUAGCGGUGAAAUGCGUAGAGAUGUGGAGGAAUACCGGUGGCGAAGGCGGCCCCCUGGACAAAGACUGACGCCCAGGUGCGAAAGCGUGGGGAGCAAACAGG
rnacentral:rRNA from 1 species